rnacentral:rRNA from 1 species
AUGGACCUUCCCCUGCCGUCGCGGGAUCCGGAGACCCUCGGCAAGGACGAUCAGGACUGGAUGUCCGCGCUGCGGGAGUCGGUGUCGUUCGGUCGAUUCCUAUCCGAGUCACUCGAGUGGGAUACGAUGAGGCAUGCCUUGCCGGCACCGACGGCUACCAUAUUGCAUGACCAAUCGCUGCCGGCAGCUGGCCUCAAUCAAGAUGUACAUGUCAAUUUCUUGGUGCCGACCACAAUGGUCGGAGCUCAAUCUGCCUCCUCCAAUUGUGGUGUUGCAUGCAUUGGCGAAUCUGGAGCAGGCGUGAGUUGUAGUCCAUGCUUGCCUGCUGCCCGGUCCUCAACUAAUGUUGAAGGAGCUGCAUUGCAUUUGUCGAUGAUGGAGCCAAUGGAGAGCAUUGGUCAGAGCGUAGGAUCUACUACUCCAGUUUUGCUUGAAGAUGAUGCCAAUACCAAUUUCAAGGAUGGAAAUGAAUUGGCUUCAUGCAGUGGAGAUAGUUACACUACACCAAGGAAAACAAGAAGCAUGCCGAUCCGCGGUUCAACAUAUGAGCCAGAGUGUGAUGAAAGCUUGCAGCCCACAAUUGGCAUGGUCUUUGAUAAAUGGGAGGAUGGUGAGAUUUUCUACAAACAUUAUGCUCAUGAGGCUGGUUUUUCGGUUCGGAUAUUUACACAGCAUAAAGGGGAUGGUGGUGUACCAGUGUGGAAGCGAUUUGUUUGUGCAAGGCAAGGAUGGAGGAAGGAGAAAUGUGUACCGAAUGAUCAUGUCAAGAAGUCCAAUAGGAAAGUGAAGAUAACUAGGUGUGGUUGUGAGGCUAUGAUUGGCUUAAAGAGAAGAGGUGAUGGCAAGUAUGUAGUCGCCCGAUUCGUGCUUCAACACACACAUCAGCUUGUCUCGCCGAGUAAGAAAUAG